rnacentral:rRNA from 1 species
AGAGUUUGAUCAUGGCUCAGAACGAACGCUGGCGGCGUACUUUAACACAUGCAAGUCGUACGAGAAAUUCCCGCUUCGGCGGGAGAGUAAAGUGGCGAACGGGUGAGUAAUACCAAGGGUAAUCUGCCCUUAAAUUAGGGAUACCCUUGCGAAAGCGAAGCUAAUACCCUGAUAAGACUACGCCCUCUUAGGAGGAUGUAGGAAAAGAUGGCCCCUGUUUCAAGCUAUCACUUAAGGAUGAGCCCUUCCACUAUUAGCUUGUUGGUGGGGUAACGCCCCACCAAGGCGACGAUGGUUAGCUGGUCUGAGAGGAUGCCCACCCCCACUGGAACUGAGACACGGUCCAGAUCAUGCGGGAGGCACCAGUGAGGAAUAUUGCGCAAUGGGGGAAACCCUGACGCCAGUGACGCCGCGUGAGUGAUGAAGGCUUUCGAGUCGUAAAGCUCUGUUAGGUGGAAAGAAACAUUCCAACGCUAAUAUCGUUGGAACUUGACGGUACCACCAGAGGAAGCACCGGCUAACUCCGUGCCAGCAGCCGCGGUAAUACGGAGGGUGCAAGCGUUGUUCGGAAUUACUGGGCGUAAAGGGCGUGUAGGCGGUUAAGCAAGUCAGGUGUGAAAUCCCUUGGCUCAACCAAGGAAGUGCGCUUGAAACUGUUUAACUAGAGUACAGGAGGGGAAAGUGGAAUUCCCAGUGUAGAGGUGAAAUUCAUAGAUAUUGGGAGGAACACCGGUAGCGAAGGCGGCUUUCUGGCCUGAUACUGACGCUGAGACGCGAAAGCGUGGGGAGCAAACAGGAUUAGAUACCCUGGUAGUCCACGCCGUAAACGAUGGGCACUAGGUGUAGGAAGUGUUGACCCUUUCUGUGCCGAAGCUAACGCAUUAAGUGCCCCGCCUGGGGAGUACGGUCGCAAGGCU